rnacentral:rRNA from 1 species
GACGAACGCUGGCGGCAUGCCUAACACAUGCAAGUCUAGGGGUAGCAAUACCACUGGCGCACGGGUGAGUAACACGUAGGUUAUCUGCCCCCAUCACAGACAUAACCCCGGGAAACCGGGGCUAAUAUCUGAUGAGGUCGCGAGAUCAAAGCUUCGGCGGAUGGGGAUGAGCCUGCGGCUGAUUAGCUAGUUGGUGAGGUAAUGGCUCACCAAGGCGACGAUCAGUAGCUGGUCUGAGAGGACGAACAGCCACACUGGAACUGAGACACGGUCCAGACUCCUACGGGAGGCAGCAGUGAGGAAUAUUGGUCAAUGGGAGCAAUCCUGAACCAGCAAUGCCGCGUGUGGGAUGACAGGGCUUCGCCUUGUAAACCACUGUCGGACGGGACGAAAGGAGGCCUCGGGCCUCUGGGACGGUACCGUCAAAGG